rnacentral:lncRNA from 1 species
CGAGGAAGCAGUACUUUAUUGUGGAUCAAGGUAGUAUUACAUAAUUGAUAAAAAGGAAACACUCUAUUAACAUGACACAAACCAAGUUCCUCCAUAAUGUGAAGAAAUUUGGCUAAUUAAGCUUAAGAAAUUCAGUAGGGCCAUCAUCUUCCCUAGAAGGUAGUUUAGAGAAUGUAAACAAAAUGACCCAGCAACACGUACUACACACAUCACGGAACAAAUAGAUAUAACAUAACUCAACAAAGUGCGAGAAUUCAUCGAUCUUCUUCUCUUCUUUUAACGAGGAAAGAGAUUUUAUCUCCUUCUCUUGCAUACUUUGACAAACUCACAUGGGAGUUGGCCCAACUGAGUGAAGCAACUGUUCAGCAUCUUU